UGUGGUGUACAAAGGGUUGUGAUCCUGCGAGGGUGAGCUAACCCCCAAAGCACGUUCUCAGUUCAGAUUGCAUGUUGCAACUCAUCUGCAUGAAG
rnacentral:ncRNA from 1 species